GUUCUUGCUUUGGCAGAACAUAUACUAAAAUUGGAAUGAUACAGAGAAGACAAGGAUAACGCGCAAUCGUGAAGCGUUCCACAUUAUU